AUGGCGGGAUACGCGAAUUUUGGAGUAUCCCCGAAAUUCGAAUUAAAAAAAAAGAAAAAACGACUGGGAUACGCCGGGAUACGCAGGGACACGUUAGGGAUACGGCCUGGCCCAAAAACACACCCCCGGGCCAGCCACGGCCCAAUAUGUAACCCUAUUUUGCAGGGUCUCCAGCGUGCCAUACGAGCUGCUCCCUGCUUCCCAGCUCGAACAGAAGGAGCCGCCACCUUCUGGAUCGAAGUUCCCACCACCUGGGCUCGCCGCCGCCGGCGCCGGCGACUCCUGGAUUCGACGGCGACUCCUCCAUCAAGCACCAGCAGCAGCAGUCUCUCUCUCUCCUCGCCUCCUCGGCUCCUCGCAGCUGUAGCCUCUGGUAGCAGCAACUCUUCUGCUGCAGUCCGCCAAAAGGAAAUGAUGGUCUACAAAAUCCACUCCCAUGCCCACAUCCUAGACCUGCAGGCCAGCGCCGAUCAGCUGGGCCACUCCAAUAAGUCCAUGCUUGUGAAUCUUGUCUCUCUGGAGUCGGUGCGCAUAGCGUGCGAGUCGUAUGCACUCCUCCGCCAGCUGAUCAACGAGUCGUGGAUCUGGGCAUGCUCGGAGCUGAAAAUCCUCUUGGUUGUGGCAGGCUUGUCGCUGGAAAUCCAAAAGCUUGAGCAUGAUGUGUUACCCCAGCUCAUGGUUCAGGAGGCCAAGCUGGAAGAGGGCGCCCUGGAAGCCCUCCUACUCAUGAAGAACUCAGCAAUUACGCUCUUAGAUCUGAGGAAGUGCUUUCAGUUAUCCUUGGGCGUAUUGCUUGCCGAGGAGGAUCUGGUCUUAGCCCGAGUCAAAGAGCUGAGCAUAAUGCUAAAGGAUACUGCUGAUGAUGUACUCAAAGGUAAUUGCGACAUUGUCUGUCUUCAGGAGCGUGCCCAAUCGCUGGUCAAGCUGGUCACCGAUGUGUUGGAGACCCCGGUUCGUUUCUGUGAUCCUGAUGAGUAUUCUGAUGAGUAG
rnacentral:rRNA from 1 species